rnacentral:tRNA from 1 species
GGAGGGGUAGCCUAGUGGUUAAGGCAGCAGUUUGCUAAACUGCGUCCGUGAAUAACGGACUCGUGGGUUCGAAUCCCACCCCCUCCG